rnacentral:rRNA from 1 species
GAAUUCGCCCUUAGAGUUUGAUCCUGGCUCAGGACGAACGCUGGCGGCGCGCCUAACACAUGCAAGUCGAACGAGCGAGAGAGAGCUUGCUUUCUCGAGCGAGUGGCGAACGGGUGAGUAACGCGUGAGGAACCUGCCUCAAAGAGGGGGACAACAGUUGGAAACGACUGCUAAUACCGCAUAAGCCCACGGGUCGGCAUCGACCAGAGGGAAAAGGAGCAAUCCGCUUUGAGAUGGCCUCGCGUCCGAUUAGCUAGUUGGUGAGGUAACGGCCCACCAAGGCGACGAUCGGUAGCCGGACUGAGAGGUUGAACGGCCACAUUGGGACUGAGACACGGCCCAGACUCCUACGGGAGGCAGCAGUGGGGAAUAUUGCACAAUGGGGGAAACCCUGAUGCAGCGACGCCGCGUGGAGGAAGAAGGUCUUCGGAUUGUAAACUCCUGUUGUUGAGGAAGAUAAUGACGGUACUCAACAAGGAAGUGACGGCUAACUACGUGCCAGCAGCCGCGGUAAAACGUAGGUCACAAGCGUUGUUCGGAAUUACUGGGUGUAAAGGGAGCGCAGGCGGGAAGACAAGUUGGAAGUGAAAUCUAUGGGCUCAACCCAUAAACUGCUUUCAAAACUGUUUUUCUUGAGUAGUGCAGAGGUAGGCGGAAUUCCCGGUGUAGCGGUGGAAUGCGUAGAUAUCGGGAGGAACACCAGUGGCGAAGGCGGCCUACUGGGCACCAACUGACGCUGAGGCUCGAAAGUGUGGGUAGCAAACAGGAUUAGAUACCCUGGUAGUCCACACCGUAAACGAUGAUUACUAGGUGUUGGGAGGAUUGACCCCUUCAGUGCCGCAGUUAACACAAUAAGUAAUCCACCUGGGGAGUACGACCGCAAGGUUGAAACUCAAAGGAAUUGACGGGGGCCCGCACAAGCAGUGGAGUAUGUGGUUUAAUUCGACGCAACGCGAAGAACCUUACCAAGUCUUGACAUCCUGCGACGCACAUAGAAAUAUGUGUUUCCUUCGGGACGCAGAGACAGGUGGUGCAUGGUUGUCGUCAGCUCGUGUCGUGAGAUGUUGGGUUAAGUCCCGCAACGAGCGCAACCCUUACUGUCAGUUACUACGCAAGAGGACUCUGGCAGGACUGCCGUUGACAAAACGGAGGAAGGUGGGGAUGACGUCAAAUCAUCAUGCCCUUUAUGACUUGGGCUACACACGUACUACAAUGGCGUUAAACAAAGAGAAGCAAGACCGCGAGGUGGAGCAAAACUCAGAAACAACGUCCCAGUUCGGACUGCAGGCUACAACUCGCCUGCACGAAGUCGGAAUUGCUAGUAAUCGUGGAUCAGCAUGCCACGGUGAAUACGUUCCCGGGCCUUGUACACACCGCCCGUCA